GUGGGGAACACCUAUGGAUGCACCAGAGUGCAACUACUCAGACCCCAGUGUGCAGAAGGGCCCUGGCUCCAUGCCGUUUCCAUAUCCAAGCCCAAGCUCAUCUAGAGCUUCAGCAAAUCCAAGCCUCCCUGAAUUCCCUGCAAGACCAAACUGAGCCCUACAACUCCCACUACACUGGUUAGCUGCCAGCCCCAGCCUCUGCUCCUUCCUGGGCCCCUGUCGGCACAGUUCUGAAGUCCUACAAGAAUGUUGAGAUCCUAAGCCGACUCUCACCCAAGAGGUAAACAACCAGGGGCCUCCAGGGGUAGAGAACAUACCCAGACAGGUUCUGCUGCCUGUAGGCUUCAUGUCCUUCCCCUACAACACGCCAUGCUUGCCAGGCUGGAAGAGGGGCUCCAGAAACUUGGAAACCUGGGCCUGUAGCUGGCAUAUGGAAAAGAGGCCUGGAAAAGCACCACUCCUGUCCAUGAAGCCCCCAGAUGGAACCAGGUCCUGUUCAGAAACCCCAUCUGUGCCUUUGGAGAGACUGCCCCGAGCACACAGGCCCAGCAACCGCCAUCUAUGGCCCCCAGGACCUAAUCCCUUCUACAUAGGGUUCAGUGCAUGUGAGUAUACACCGGGCUUGAUUCCUGCCUAGUCCCUGCCAGAUACCCCAUGCCCACCUGGUGAAGAGAAUGAGGCCACACAAACACACCCAGGCCAUCGUGGUGAUGGAGUGCCUGGGGUCCUACUUGCCCACCCUUCCUUGCUGGUUCAGAGCCAGCUGUCUGACCACAUUCCUACCCUGAGAUGAGACUUUGGGGACAUUGUCCACCAGGGUCACUGACCCCUUUUAAAAUUCCAGAAACAGAGGGCCAGCUGGUCCCCUAGAAGUUUGGCACAUGGGAUAAGCCAAGGCUUGCCUUCAGGAACAGGUUUUCCACCACGUCGCUGCCCAAGGCCCAGGGCAUCCCCAAGUUCAUGUGGCACCUGCCUGCCAUGUCCACAACCCAUGCCGACCCCUCCUAGAGCCACUGGAAUGCUUGUUCCUGGGCAUGUGAUAAACCCAGACAGCUUCAGCCUUGCAGGACAACUAUGCACAUCUGGCAGCAGUAGCCGGAGGGCCCAUGGAAAGAAGUUGGAGGUGAAACCAGAUGCUGUGAAAAUAUUAGGCAAAACUGCAUACUAUAAAAGUGCUUUAAAAUGCAGCAGGAGGAGAGGUGAAGACACAAAUGAAUAAGUGCUUAGAGACACAUGGCUGUCAGAACAGUUAAGAAUCCACGCUGCUUCCCCCCUUUACCUAGAAAAGGAAAAUUCUAGGCCACCUCCUCCUCAGCAUACUCCUCAAACUCCUCCUCCUCAGCCGUGGCAUCCUGAUAUUGCUGAUAUUCAGACACCAGGUCGUUCAUGUUGCUCUCGGCCUCGGUGAAUUCCAUCUCUUCCAUGCCCUCGCCCGUGUACCAAUGGAGGAAGGCCUUGCGCCUGAACAUUGCUGUAAACUGCUCUGAGACACGCUUGAAGAGUUCCUGGAUGGCCGUAUUAUUCCCAAUGAAGGAACAGCAAGAGGACCUUGUGCAUGAAUAAUUUGUUUCCAUACUACAGAAAGAAUCCCAGACUUCUUAGAGAACCCAGUGACUUUUUGCACCUUAAAUCUGUGAAAUCCUCAUGUUUUCUUCUGCCGUAUCCAUAGUUCAAACAAAGAUGAGGCAAAGCUAGACGCAUUCCUGAAGGAACCCAAGAAAUUCCUCUCUUUCUCUCUCUGGAAUGAAAUGAAUUCUCUAGACCACCAGUUCUAACCUUCAAAAACCAAACCUGUUUGUGAGCUGUCCUUCAAAUACUACUGUAGACCCCAGUGUUUAUUCAUUAAAUUUUUUAAAUAUUUGUUUUAUUUGGAAUCAAAGUAUUUGUAAUUUUAGUAUUUGUAUUAAUAUCAGGGAGAAAUGUUUAAAUCUGUCUAUGCCAUAUGUGCCUCUGGCUUAUUGCCCAAUUAAUUGUAGCCUCAGGCUAAACUUUGGUUUCUGUCUUUAAUUUUUGUCAGAAGAAAUAUAACUGAUCUCAAAACA
rnacentral:lncRNA from 1 species